AUUGCACAAUGGGGGAAACCCUGAUGCAGCGACGCCGCGUGAGUGAAGAAGUAUCUCGGUAUGUAAAGCUCUAUCAGCAGGGAAGAAGAAAUGACGGUACCUGACUAAGAACCCCCGGCUAACUACGUGCCAGCAGCCGCGGUAAUACGUAGGGGGCAAGCGUUAUCCGGAUUUACUGGGUGUAAAGGGAGCGUAGACGGAAUCGCAAGUCUGAUGUGAAAAUCCGGGGCCCAACCCCGGAACUGCAUUGGAAACUGUAUUUCUAGAGUGUAGGAGAGGCAAGUGGAAUUCCUGGUGUAGCGGUGAAAUGCGUAGAUAUCAGGAGGAACACCAGUGGCGAAGGCGGCUUGCUGGACGAUGACUGACGUUGAGGCUCGAAAGCGUGGGGAGCAAACAGG
rnacentral:rRNA from 1 species